GUGCUCUCUUCGGCAGCACACAUACUAAAAUUGGAACAAUACAGAGAAGAUUAGCAAGGCCCCUGUGCAAGGAUGAGAUGCAAAUUUGUGAAAUGUUCCAUAUUUAA
rnacentral:snRNA from 1 species